UAUCACAGCAGAGACGGCACAGAAGCACGGGCACCUUAACAUCGUGGGUCUGGUGGGCUCCAUUGAUAAUGAUUUCUGCGGCACAGACAUGACGAUCGGUGCUGAUUCUGCCCUCAAUCGCAUCACUGAGAUCAUCGACGCCAUCACCACCACUGCAACCAGCCAUCAGCGCACAUUUGUGCUGGAGGUGAUGGGCCGUCACUGCGGGUAUCUGGCGCUGGUUUCAGCUCUGGCGUCUGGAGCUGAUUGGCUGUUUAUCCCAGAAGCUCCUCCUGAGGACGGAU